AACGAACGCUGGCGGCAGGCCUAACACAUGCAAGUCGAGCGAGGACUUCGGUCCUAGCGGCGGACGGGUGAGUAACGCGUGGGAACGUGCCCUUUGCUUCGGAAUAGCCCUGGGAAACUGGGAGUAAUACCGGAUGAGCCCUUUGGGGGAAAGAUUUAUCGGCGAAGGAUCGGCCCGCGUUGGAUUAGGUAGUUGGUGGGGUAAUGGCCUACCAAGCCGACGAUCCAUAGCUGGUUUGAGAGGAUGAUCAGCCACACUGGGACUGGGACACGGCCCAGACUCCUACGGGAGGCAGCAGUGGGGAAUCUUAGACAAUGGGGGAAACCCUGAUCGAGCCAUGCCGCGUGAGCGAUGAAGGCCUUAGGGUUGUAAAGCUCUUUCAGCUGGGAAGAUAAUGACGGUACCAGCAGAAGAAGCCCCGGCUAACUCCGUG
rnacentral:rRNA from 1 species